rnacentral:rRNA from 3 species
UAAAGGAAAUAAGAGCGCACAGUGGAUGCCUAGGCACCAAGAGCUGAUGAAGGACGCAAUUAACGGCGAUACGCUACGGGGAGCUGUAAAUAAGUGUAGAUCCGUGGAUUUCCGAAUGGGGCAACCUACUAUAAGAAGUUAUAGUAUCAAUUGUUAGGCAACUAACUGAUUGAAAGGAACGCAGUGAACUGAAAUAUCUAAGUAACUGCAGGAACAGAAAGUAAUAACGAUUCCGGUAGUAGUGACGAGCGAAUCCGGAACAGCCGGAUACCAAUAACUAGUUACCAAAUUUUAAUUAACUCGAAAUAGUUGGAAAGCUAUAUCCCAGAAGGUGAAAAUCCUGUAGAGGUAAGUUAAAAUCUAGGGUAUCCUCAAGUACGGCGAGACACGAGAAAUCUUGUUGGAAGAUAGGAGGACCAUCUCCUAAGGCUAAAUACUCCUUGGUGACCGAUAGUGAACUAGUACCGUGAGGGAAAGGUGAAAAGAACCCCGGAAGGGGAGUGAAAUAGAUCCUGAAACUGUGUGCUUACAAGUAGUCAAAGCUCGUUUAAGAGUGAUGGCGUGCCUUUUGCAGAAUGAACCGGCGAGUUAUGAUAUAGAGCAAGGUUAAGUUUGAAGGAACGUAGCCGUAGCGAAAGCGAGUCUGAAUAGGGCGUUUAGUUGUAUGUCAUAGACCCGAAACUGAAGUGAGCUAGCCAUGAACAGGCUGAAGUGACGUGACCACGUCAUGGAGGGCCGAACCAGGACACGUUGAAAAGUGUUUGGAUGAUUUGUGGCUAGAGGUGAAAUUCCAAUCGAACUCAGAGAUAGCUGGUUCUCCCCGAAAUAGCUUUAGGGCUAGCGUUGGGUAUUUAAUAGUUCUUGAAGGUAGAGCACUAAAUGAGUGCGGGCUCCACCUCGGGGUACCAAUCUCAAUUAAACUCCGAAUGUCAAGAACCGUAUCCCAGCAGUCAGACGAUGGGUGAUAAGGUCCAUGGUCAAAAGGGAAAGAGCCCAGACCGUCAGCUAAGGUCCCUAAAUUAAUGUUAAGUGGUUAAGGAAGUAAAAACGUUAAAACAAUUAGGAAGUUGGCUUAGAAGCAGCCAUCUUUUAAAGAGUGCGUAAUAGCUCACUAAUCUAAUAUUUUUGCACCGAAAAUGUAACGGGGCUAAACAUUAUACCGAAGCUACGGAUAUGUUCCGGCUAGUAAUAGCUAAGGAACAUGUGGUAGGGGAAGCGUUCUAACAUCGUAGAAGCUAUAGCGGAAGCAGUAGUGGAGAGGUUAGAAGUGAGAAUGCCGGUGUAAGUAACGAAAAGAUAGAUGAGAAUUCUAUCCGUCGAAAACCCAAGGUUUCCAGGGGCAGGGUCGUCCGCCCUGGGUUAGUCAGGAACUAAGGCGAGGCAGCAAUGCGUAGUCGAUGACCAGCAGGCUAAAAUUCCUGCACUAAAAAAAUCACUGAUGGAGGGACAAAAGAGGAUAAGCACGCCCUUUAUUGGAUUAGGGUCGAAAAAUCGAGUUUGAGAAGAUAGGCAAAUCCGUCUUCUUACUUGCCAAAAAAUGAGAUUUGAGGGUAACGUGACUGUGUUCAUAUUUUCUAGAAAAGCUUCUAGGGUUAAUGAUUUUUUUACCUGUACCGUAAACCGACACAGGUGGGAAGGUAGAGUAUACUAAGACGCGCGAGAAAACUCUUGUUAAGGAACUCGGCAAAAUGACUCCGUAACUUCGGGAUAAGGAGAGCUUUUAUGAUAAAAAGUAAAAGCCGCAGAGAAUAGGCCCAAGCGACUGUUUAUCAAAAACACAGGUCUCUGCUAAACCGUAAGGUGAUGUAUAGGGGCUGAUGCCUGCCCGGUGCUGGAAGAUUAAGAGGAGAUGUUCGGGCUUGCCCAAAGCAUUGAAUUGAAGUCCCAGUGAACGGCGGCCGUAACUAUAACGGUCCUAAGGUAGCGAAAUUCCUUGUCGGGUAAAUUCCGACCUGCACGAAAGGCAUAACGAUUUGGGCGCUGUCUCAACAAGAGUCUCGGUGAAAUCAAAUUACCGGUGAAAAUGCCGGUUACCCGCGACAGGACGAAAAGACCCCAUGGAGCUUUACUGUAGCUUAAUAUUGGAAUUGGAAAUCUCAUGUACAGGAUAGGUGGGAGACAGAGAACUUUAGACGCUAGUUUAAAGGGAGUCACCGGUGGGAUACCACUCUUGAGAUUUUUAGUUUCUAACCUGCAUAAGUGGAUUAUGAGGGACAGUGUUUGGUGGGCAGUUUGACUGGGGCGGUCGCCUCCUAAAAAGUAACGGAGGCGUUCAAAGGUUCCCUCAAAAUGGUCAGAAAUCAUUUUUAGAGCGUAAAGGUAUAAGGGAGCUUGACUGUGAGACCUACAAGUCGAGCAGGGACGAAAGUCGGACUUAGUGAUCUUGCGGUACCGAAUGGAAGGGCCGUGACUCAACGGAUAAAAGCUACCCUGGGGAUAACAGCCUUAUCGCCCCCGAGCGUUCACAGCGACGGGGCGGUUUGGGACCUCGAUGUCGGCUCAUCGCAUCCUGGAGCUGGAGCAGGUUCCAAGGGUUGGGCUGUUCGCCCAUUAAAGCGGUACGCGAGCUGGGUUCAGAACGUCGUGAGACAGUUCGGUCUCUAUCCGUCGUGGGCGUUGGAAAUUUGCGAGGAACUGUCCCUAGUAUGAGAAGACCGGGAUGGAUAUACCGCUGGUGCACCAGUUGGUUCGCCAGAGCCAUAGCUGGGUAGCUAUGUAUAGUAUGGAUAAACACUGAAAGCAUCUAAGUGUGAAGCCUCCCUCAAGAUGAGAUUUCCCUAAGAGAUCCCUGAAAGACGAUCAGGUUGAUAGGCUAGAAGUGGAAGAGUAGUGAUAUUUGGAGCUGACUAGUACUAAUAGAUCCAACGACUUUGAUGA